GGGCAUGUGUUGUAACUGGUAACACCCGGGACUCAUUAUCUGGCACCCGGAGUUGUCGGUUCGAUCCCGACCAUGUCCA
rnacentral:tRNA from 1 species